AACCCAACCUGCUGCCUGCCCGUAAACGUAAAUCACUAAAUCCCUAGAAUUCUAAAUCUCAUCACGCCGACGAGGACCGCGAUUCAGCGAGAGAAGACGAGGACUGCCGUCCGCCGACCAGACUUUCCCAAUCUCCGCCGUCCGUGCAGUCCAGUGGCUGCCGCCAUCUCGCCGGCCGCCGGUCGCCCGCCAGCACGCCAGCCGUUGCCGUCGGCCCGUCGCGUCUCCAACCAGUGCCGCCAGCGCUCGCCUCUGUUCUGCGUCCAUCUUCUUCUCCGGCCUCCGCAGGUGAUGAUGGUGAUGUUGAAGAUCUUCAUGUUCGUGUUCCAACUGAAUCUUCUGAAGCGUAGUGUGUUUUACAAUUUGAUAUGUGAUUAUGAACUUUAAAUAUUAAUUCUGAAGUUUAGUAUGUUUGUGUUUUGGACUGAUAUUAGUGAUAUUUGUAAUGAAUUAAUCAUCAAUGGAUUGAUGUCAUUAUAGUCAUUACUAGUUAAUUAGUUAUGAUUUAUGAACUUUGAUUAUUAUUUUUGAA